UACGUAGGGUGCGAGCGUUGUCCGGAAUUAUUGGGCGUAAAGAGCUCGUAGGCGGUGUGUCGCGUCGGCCGUGAAAACCUGCAGCUUAACUGUGGGCUUGCGGUCGAUACGGGCAUCACUGGAGUUCGGCAGGGGAGACUGGAAUUCCUGGUGUAGCGGUGAAAUGCGCAGAUAUCAGGGGGAACACCGGUGGCGAAGGCGGGUCUCUGGGCCGAUACUGACGCUGAGGAGCGAAAGCGUGGGGAGCGAACAGG
rnacentral:rRNA from 1 species